rnacentral:rRNA from 1 species
AUGGGCGACAGCCAGUACUCCUUCUCCCUCACCACCUUCAGCCCAUCGGGGAAGCUGGUGCAGAUUGAACAUGCACUCACAGCGGUCGGAUCAGGCCAAACCUCCCUUGGCAUCAAAGCUGCCAAUGGUGUAGUUAUCGCCACCGAGAAGAAACUGCCUUCUAUUUUAGUGGACGAAACAUCUGUGCAAAAGAUUCAGUCGUUAACUCCAAAUAUUGGAGUUGUCUACAGUGGGAUGGGUCCAGAUUUUCGUGUUCUUGUCAGAAAAAGUCGGAAGCAGGCACAGCAGUAUUAUCGGUUGUACAAGGAAACCAUCCCUGUUACCCAGCUUGUCCGAGAGACUGCUGCUGUUAUGCAGGAGUUCACUCAAUCUGGUGGCGUAAGACCAUUUGGUGUAUCACUGUUGAUUGCUGGUUAUGAUGACAAUGGCCCGCAGUUGUAUCAGGUUGACCCAUCAGGGUCUUACUUCUCCUGGAAAGCAUCAGCUAUGGGAAAAAAUGUGUCAAAUGCGAAGACUUUUCUUGAGAAAAGAUACACAGAAGAUAUGGAGCUUGAUGAUGCCAUCCAUACUGCAAUUUUGACUCUGAAAGAAGGAUAUGAAGGUCAAAUCUCUGCCAACAACAUUGAAAUUGGAGUUAUUCGAGCUGACCGUGAAUUCAAAGUUCUAACUCCAGCGGAGAUCAAGGAUUUCUUGGAAGAGGUGGAGUAA